GACGAACGCUGGCGGCGUGCCUAACACGUGCAAGUCGAACGGACGAGGCUCCUUCGGGGGGCCAAGUUAGUGGCGAACGGGUGAGUAACGCGUGAGGAACCUGCCUUUCAGAGGGGGACAACAGUUGGAAACGACUGCUAAUACCGCAUAACGUACACGGACCGCAUGAUCUGUGUACCAAAGAUUUAUCGCUGAAAGAUGGCCUCGCGUCUGAUUAGCUAGUUGGCGGGGUAACGGCCCACCAAGGCGACGAUCAGUAGCCGGACUGAGAGGUUGAACGGCCACAUUGGACUGAGAUACGGCCCAGACUCCUACGGGAGGCAGCAGUGGGGAAUAUUAGGCAAUGGGGGAAACCCUGACCUAGCAACGCCGCGUGAA
rnacentral:rRNA from 1 species